rnacentral:rRNA from 1 species
UACGUAGGGUCCGAGCGUUGUCCGGAAUUAUUGGGCGUAAAGAGCUCGUAGGCGGUUUGUCGCGUCUGCUGUGAAAUCCCGAGGCUCAACCUCGGGUCUGCAGUGGGUACGGGCAGACUGGAGUGCGGUAGGGGAGAAUGGAAUUCCUGGUGUAGCGGUGGAAUGCGCAGAUAUCAGGAGGAACACCGAUGGCGAAGGCAGGUCUCUGGGCCACUACUGACGCUGAGAAGCGAAAGCGUGGGGAGCGAACAGG